rnacentral:snoRNA from 3 species
UGAACGCCUGUUUUUGAUAAACACGAGUUUAUGGGUAAUUUGUGUCUGAGGCAUUUCUUUGAUGUCACUCUUUUCACCUUGGGAGAUCUGAUGCAUCCU